rnacentral:rRNA from 1 species
GGAUUGCCUUAGUAACGGCGAGUGAAGCGGCAAAAGCUCAAAUUUGAAAUCUGGUACCUUCGGUGCCCGAGUUGUAAUUUGGAGAGGGCAACUUUGGGGCCGUUCCUUGUCUAUGUUCCUUGGAACAGGACGUCAUAGAGGGUGAGAAUCCCGUGUGGCGAGGAGUGCGGUUCUUUGUAAAGUGCCUUCGAAGAGUCGAGUUGUUUGGGAAUGCAGCUCUAAGUGGGUGGUAAAUUCCAUCUAAAGCUAAAUAUUGGCGAGAGACCGAUAGCGAACAAGUACAGUGAUGGAAAGAUGAAAAGAACUUUGAAAAGAGAGUGAAAAAGUACGUGAAAUUGUUGAAAGGGAAGGGCAUUUGAUCAGACAUGGUGUUUUGUGCCCUCUGCUCCUUGUGGGUAGGGGAAUCUCGCAUUUCACUGGGCCAGCAUCAGUUUUGGUGGCAGGAUAAAUCCAUAGGAAUGUAGCUUGCCUCGGUAAGUAUUAUAGCCUGUGGGAAUACUGCCAGCUGGGACUGAGGACUGCGACGUAAGUCAAGGAUGCUGGCAUAAU